GCCGGCGCGGCCAUGGCGAGGGCGGCGGCGGGGAGGAGGAAGCGCUCCCUACGGCCGUCGCUAGUACGCCUGCGCAAGGGCCGGCCCUGCCGCUUGGUUUCGAGUACUUUGGGUGAUUGUCUUUGGCACAUGCGCAGUGAGGCAAGUGAAGCACCGCGAAGGUCGGGCAGUCGGUCCGGCCCUACCCAUUGAAUCUUUGCCUGCUGUGCCUGAGUCGAAGUGAGUUCGGGAAGCCAGUGCCCGAAUGCUCAACCUUGCUGUAUCAGGGAGGGCCGGAGAGGGGAGCUCAAGAAGAGGACGUCCUAUCGAGGUGGCAGGGAUUUUCUGAAGGAGGGCGUAUUUUGGAAACUGACAGAAUGAGCUUCCAAGGCCCAGGAGACAAUGGAAUCUCACUCUGUCACCCAGACUGGAGUGCAGUGGCCCGAUCUCAGCUCACUGCAGCCUCCGCUUCCCAGGUUCAAGCGAUUCUCCUGCCUCAGCCUUCCAGGCAGCUGGGAUUACAGAUUAGUAAUUUUCCCAAGACCCUCCAAACAGAACCAAAACUCCUCAAAAGCGAAGCCAAGCACAGCUGUGGACCUUGUGGUAUACCCCAAGAUGCUCAGCCCAGAGCCCCCAACCCCUGCUCAGCUGUGUGACCUGGCCUGAAUCUCUCUGGGCCCCAUCUGUCCAAUCUGCAUCUGCCAACUUGCCACAGUCCCUGGACAACCUCUCACCCAAUCCUUCCCAGUCAGCCUUGCUAUUCCCUCCGGGCUCCAUACCUGUUUCCUGUACCUCCCGCCUGUAUUUCCUGUAUCCUGCCCCACAUUACAGCACUGAAACCCUC
rnacentral:lncRNA from 1 species